GGUCCAUCUAUCAAGCACAGGCAGAAAAGUGCUGUGGUCUUCAGUAUUUAGGCUACCCAAGACCUUCCUGUAUAUGGAGAAGAGAACAUUUCAGAGAAGAGUCUUCUGGAGAAACCUGAGCAUCAAAUGAGCAGGGACACUAAAGACAGUGAAUUCACCAUGGCAUCUAACAUGUGCUCAGCUGGAGGGAACAAGAGCUUGCAAUCAAACUCUCAUAAGUACUGAGGGACCUUGGCUGUUUUACAUACCAAGAAGCACUGAGGGGAAUUCCAUCUUGUUUGUUCUUCAAGUCUUCAACUGAUUGUACAUAGCCCGCCCAUAGUGUGGAGUGGGUGCUCUCUCAUGGAAAGACAGUUGGGGACACAAAACUCUUGAGUUUCAGCUAAGGCCACAACAAUCACCUUCUGAGCCAAGUACAGAUGCUCAUUUCUAGGUUCAUCCUGCCUGC